AUAUUUCUGAAGGUCAGUAGCCUUCUGAAUGUAUGUGUAAAUUCCAAGGGCAUUGAGUACAGAGAUAACUGAGAUAUAUAACAAUGUAAGCGUGGGCACGAAAAAGUAGUCUAUAAAAAUUCUCCAGAUAAGAAUUGUGUUGCGCCUUCGCUCAAUUCUCAUUCCAGUGCAAAACCUAAGUCUUAAUUUCCUUAUUUCUUUUUCAGUCACGACUUUUGACUGAUUUUAAACCAGCCGAGGCGUUUUCACGCCGGAAAUCCCAGCCUAUAUAUUGUUCUGUACGCUGUAACAAGGACCGACGGCAGAACUUGUGAGAGAAUCCUGACGCAAACAGAAUUUUACUCCAGCCAUGUCUUGCUCCAGAGUCCUCGUCGCUUGCCUCGUGGCGGUCUUUGUACUCGCCCUGCAAUGCCAAGGAAAACCAUCAUGUGACUCAGCUUGCAUCGAGAUCUAUGCUCCGAUUUGCGGCUCCGAUGGUACGACUUACGACAAUCCCUGCUACUUUGAUUUGGCCAACUGCAGGAAAAAAGAAGGCGACAAAAUCACAGUAGCCAAAGUUGGCAGGUGUGAGCCGGACACUAUAGAUCUUCUACCUAUAACAGGAUAAAUCUAAAUCUGAACUUGACCGGUACCUUACGACAGAUUGAUUAAAAUUUUUUUAUCCCCUUUAA